rnacentral:lncRNA from 1 species
CAGUUGGAAGGGGCCGCCGGGGGCUACUUGCUUGGGGACUGCCUGAGGCGUCUCCACAGGGUGAUCGCAAGAACCGCUACGCCCGCCGCGCCCGCCAGAACCUGCGGAUCAUCAGGUGAUUGAUUAGGAGGGAUGCGGAGGGUUCGAAGAUGGGAAAAUGGGGGCCGAGUCGCCCACCAUGGCAUCCUGGCUGAGAUCUCUUAGCCUCGGGGGGAGGCGCGACUUGAGCGCCCUCACCCAGGAAAUCUGAGGCACGAGGACUACGACAGUGUACUGAUUCUUGCACGGGAAAGGCAGAAUCCUCUGUAGCGCCGACUGGGCCGUCGCUGGUGUCAGGGAUUCUCUAACCUUCGUGCGCCCCUCGUCCUGAACCUGCGUUAGGGAGGGGGAAGAAGACAGAAUAAAGUGAAGAAAAGCCAUAUCUUUGCUUAGGACACGUGAGAUAAUGCAAUAUAAAGGACCAUAGAUCAGCUGCCUGCAUUAAAUAUCAUGUCCUGAGUUCCUGUGUCCUCCAAACAGAUGAAAAAAAUGGCCUCAAUGGGGGCUUUUUUUUUUCUUUUUUUUACCAGGGUCAACGAGAUGGAGCAGCAGGCGUCGCGCGUGGGGCAAGGGCUCAGUAAGUUUCUCUCUAGGGCUGCCUGGCCAGACGGAUAAGCAUCGGAGCUAAGCAUUGGGCUCAAUUUAAAGGCCCAAGAGAAAAUGCCCUAAAUUUCCAAUAUGAAUCAUCUCUUCACCAUCACCUGGCUUCACCGGUUCUAGAAGUCAUUCCUUCUCCUAGAGAAUCGCAUAGACCAACCAUGUCCUCACUACUGUCUUCUCCUUUCAGGGUUCAUUUCUGUCGCAGAAUAGCAAUCGUGUUCAGCAGCGCAGGCCUUUCCUCUCACCGUUUGCUAACAUGGGUCUAAGAAUCCCUGUUCCUCGGCCAUUUCACAGGUUAGGAGGAGAUAUCCAAACUAAAUAAUGUUCAGUUAGGGACAUCAUUUUGCCCCCGUUUCAUGUUCCAUCUGGGACAUCAACGGUUGCUGUGGCACACUUGGAGGGUGGGUCAGGACCAGCUUCCCAUUGAUCACAGCAGGCCUGUGUUGGGUGCCAAAAAAAAAACCUGAUGGGACGACGGUCACCAUCUAUAUCAAGUUCUUUUGCCACCUUUUUCAGGGAGGGAGGCAUGUUAAGAGUCUCAGGGGACCCUGAAGAAGCCUUUGACCCUUGCCUAGAAA